GGGAAUGUAGCUCAAUUGGAUUAGAGCAUACCGCUACGAACGGUAAGGUUGAGAGUUCGAAUCUCUUCAUUCCCUCA
rnacentral:tRNA from 1 species